rnacentral:rRNA from 1 species
GGUUAAGCGACUAAGCGUACACGGUGGAUGCCCUGGCAGUCAGAGGCGAUGAAGGACGUGCUAAUCUGCGAUAAGCGUCGGUAAGGUGAUAUGAACCGUUAUAACCGGCGAUUUCCGAAUGGGGAAACCCAGUGUGAUUCGUCACACUAUCAUUACGUGAAUACAUAGCGUAAUGAAGCGAACCGGGGGAACUGAAACAUCUAAGUACCCCGAGGAAAAGAAAUCAACCGAGAUUCCCCCAGUAGCGGCGAGCGAACGGGGAGCAGCCCAGAGUCUGAAUCAGCUUGUGUGUUAGUGGAACGGUCUGGAAAGUCCGACGGUACAGGGUGAUAGUCCCGUACACCAAAAUGCACAGGUUGUGAACUCGAAGAGUAGGGCGGGACACGUGGUAUCCUGUCUGAAUAUGGGGGGACCAUCCUCCAAGGCUAAAUACUCCUGACUGACCGAUAGUGAACCAGUACCGUGAGGGAAAGGCGAAAAGAACCCCGGCGAGGGGAGUGAAAAAGAACCUGAAACCGUGUACGUACAAGCAGUGGGAGCCUCUUUAUGGGGUGACUGCGUACCUUUUGUAUAAUGGGUCAGCGACUUAUAUUCUGUAGCAAGGUUAACCGUAUAGGGGAGCCGAAGGGAAACCGAGUCUUAACUGGGCGUUAAGUUGCAGGGUAUAGACCCGAAACCCGGUGAUCUAGCCAUGGGCAGGUUGAAGGUUGGGUAACACUAACUGGAGGACCGAACCGACUAAUGUUGAAAAAUUAGCGGAUGACUUGUGGCUGGGGGUGAAAGGCCAAUCAAACCGGGAGAUAGCUGGUUCUCCCCGAAAGCUAUUUAGGUAGCGCCUCGUGAAUUCAUCUUCGGGGGUAGAGCACUGUUUCGGCUAGGGGGUCAUCCCGACUUACCAACCCGAUGCAAACUGCGAAUACCGAAGAAUGUUAUCACGGGAGACACACGGCGGGUGCUAACGUCCGUCGUGAAGAGGGAAACAACCCAGACCGCCAGCUAAGGUCCCAAAGUCAUGGUUAAGUGGGAAACGAUGUGGGAAGGCACAGACAGCCAGGAUGUUGGCUUAGAAGCAGCCAUCAUUUAAAGAAAGCGUAAUAGCUCACUGGUCGAGUCGGCCUGCGCGGAAGAUGUAACGGGGCUAAACCAUGCACCGAAGCUGCGGCAGCGACACUAUGUGUUGUUGGGUAGGGGAGCGUUCUGUAAGCCGUUGAAGGUGGCCUGUGAGGGUUGCUGGAGGUAUCAGAAGUGCGAAUGCUGACAUAAGUAACGAUAAUGCGGGUGAAAAACCCGCACGCCGGAAGACCAAGGGUUCCUGUCCAACGUUAAUCGGGGCAGGGUGAGUCGACCCCUAAGGCGAGGCCGAAAGGCGUAGUCGAUGGGAAACAGGUUAAUAUUCCUGUACUUGGUGUUACUGCGAAGGGGGGACGGAGAAGGCUAUGUUAGCCGGGCGACGGUUGUCCCGGUUUAAGCAUGUAGGCGGAGGUUCCAGGUAAAUCCGGUACCUUUUAACGCUGAGGUGUGAUGACGAGGCACUACGGUGCUGAAGUAACAAAUGCCCUGCUUCCAGGAAAAGCCUCUAAGCAUCAGGUAACACGAAAUCGUACCCCAAACCGACACAGGUGGUCAGGUAGAGAAUACCAAGGCGCUUGAGAGAACUCGGGUGAAGGAACUAGGCAAAAUGGUGCCGUAACUUCGGGAGAAGGCACGCUGAUAUGUAGGUGAAGCGGUUUACCCGUGGAGCUGAAAUCAGUCGAAGAUACCAGCUGGCUGCAACUGUUUAUUAAAAACACAGCACUGUGCAAACACGAAAGUGGACGUAUACGGUGUGACGCCUGCCCGGUGCCGGAAGGUUAAUUGAUGGGGUUAUCCGUAAGGAGAAGCUCUUGAUCGAAGCCCCGGUAAACGGCGGCCGUAACUAUAACGGUCCUAAGGUAGCGAAAUUCCUUGUCGGGUAAGUUCCGACCUGCACGAAUGGCGUAAUGAUGGCCAGGCUGUCUCCACCCGAGACUCAGUGAAAUUGAACUCGCUGUGAAGAUGCAGUGUACCCGCGGCAAGACGGAAAGACCCCGUGAACCUUUACUAUAGCUUGACACUGAACACUGGUCCUUGAUGUGUAGGAUAGGUGGGAGGCUUUGAAGUGUGGACGCCAGUCUGCAUGGAGCCAUCCUUGAAAUACCACCCUUUAAUGGCUGGUGUUCUAACGUGGACCCGUAAUCCGGGUUGCGGACAGUGUCUGGUGGGUAGUUUGACUGGGGCGGUCUCCUCCUAAAGAGUAACGGAGGAGCACGAAGGUUAGCUAAUCCUGGUCGGACAUCAGGAGGUUAGUGCAAAGGCAUAAGCUAGCUUGACUGCGAGAGUGACGGCUCGAGCAGGUGCGAAAGCAGGUCUUAGUGAUCCGGUGGUUCUGAAUGGAAGGGCCAUCGCUCAACGGAUAAAAGGUACUCCGGGGAUAACAGGCUGAUACCGCCCAAGAGUUCAUAUCGACGGCGGUGUUUGGCACCUCGAUGUCGGCUCAUCACAUCCUGGGGCUGAAGUAGGUCCCAAGGGUAUGGCUGUUCGCCAUUUAAAGUGGUACGCGAGCUGGGUUUAGAACGUCGUGAGACAGUUCGGUCCCUAUCUGCCGUGGGCGCUGGAGAAUUGAGGGGGGCUGCUCCUAGUACGAGAGGACCGGAGUGGACGCAUCACUGGUGUUCGGGUUGUCAUGCCAAUGGCAUUGCCCGGUAGCUAAAUGCGGAAGAGAUAAGUGCUGAAAGCAUCUAAGCACGAAACUUGCCCCGAGAUGAGUUCUCCCUGAGACUAUAAGUCUCCUGAAGGAACGUUAAAGACGAUGACGUUGAUAGGUCGGGUGUGUAAGUGUAGCGAUACAUUGAGCUAACCGAUACUAAUGAACCGUGAGGCUUAACCUU